AUUGAACGCUGGCGGCAGGCCUAACACAUGCAAGUCGAGCGGAUGAAGGGAGCUUGCUCCUGGAUUCAGCGGCGGACGGGUGAGUAAUGCCUAGGAAUCUGCCUGGUAGUGGGGGAUAACGUCCGGAAACGGGCGCUAAUACCGCAUACGUCCUGAGGGAGAAAGUGGGGGUUCUUCGGACCUCACGCUAUCAGAUGAGCCUAGGUCGGAUUAGCUAGUUGGUGGGGUAAAGGCCUACCAAGGCGACGAUCCGUAACUGGUCUGAGAGGAUGAUCAGUCACACUGGAACUGAGACACGGUCCAGACUCCUACGGGAGGCAGCAGUGGGGAAUAUUGGACAAUGGGCGAAAGCCUGAUCCAGCCAUGCCGCGUGUGUGAAGAAGGUCUUCGGAUUGUAAAGCACUUUAAGUUGGGAGGAAGGGCAGUAAGUUAAUACCUUGCUGUUUUGACGUUACCAACAGAAUAAGCACCGGCUAACUACGUG
rnacentral:rRNA from 1 species